rnacentral:rRNA from 17 species
AGGGCGACGACGACGGCGACAAGUUGGGUGAAUCGCUGUUCAUUCUAAAUCUUUAAUUCUUCGAGCGCGAUCGU